GGUUGAGUAGUAUAACGGUCAGAACAGUCCCUUCACAUCUCCUUCAUCGGGACAGAUCCGGGUUCGAUUCCCGGCUCGACCU